rnacentral:rRNA from 1 species
AGUGUACGCUGGCGGUAGGCCUAACACAUGCUAGUCGAACGGCAGCACAGUAAGAGCUUGCUCUUACGGGUGGCGAGUGGCGGACGGGUGAGGAAUACAUCGGAAUCUACUUUUUCGUGGGGGAUAACGUAGGGAAACUUACGCUAAUACCGCAUACGACCUACGGGUGAAAGCAGGGGAUCUUCGGACCUUGCGCGAUUGAAUGAGCCGAUGUCGGAUUAGCUAGUUGGCGGGGUAAAGGCCCACCAAGGCGACGAUCCGUAGCUGGUCUGAGAGGAUGAUCAGCCACACUGGAACUGAGACACGGUCCAGACUCCUACGGGAGGCAGCAGUGGGGAAUAUUGGACAAUGGGCGCAAGCCUGAUCCAGCCAUACCGCGUGGGUGAAGAAGGCCUUCGGGUUGUAAAGCCCUUUUGUUGGGAAAGAAAAGCAGCAGGUUAAUACCCCGCUGUUCUGACGGUACCCAAAGAAUAAGCACCGGCUAACUUCGUG